rnacentral:rRNA from 1 species
ACGAACGCUGGCGGCGUGCUUAACACAUGCAAGUCGAACGGAAAGGCCCUGCUUUUGUGGGAUGCUCGAGUGGCGAACGGGUGAGUAACACGUGAGUAACCUGCCCUUGACUUUGGGAUAACUUCAGGAAACUGGGGCUAAUACCGGAUAGGAGCUCCUGCUGCAUGGUGGGGGUUGGAAAGUUUCGGCGGUUGGGGAUGGACUCGCGGCUUAUCAGCUUGUUGGUGGGGUAGUGGCUUACCAAGGCUUUGACGGGUAGCCGGCCUGAGAGGGUGACCGGCCACAUUGGGACUGAGAUACGGCCCAGACUCCUACGGGAGGCAGCAGUGGGGAAUAUUGCACAAUGGGCGGAAGCCUGAUGCAGCAACGCCGCGUGCGGGAUGACGGCCUUCGGGUUGUAAACCGCUUUCGCCUGUGACGAAGCGUGAGUGACGGUAAUGGGUAAAGAAGCACCGGCUAACUACGUG